ensembl:lncRNA
CGCUUGUCAAAGGAAAUGGAGGGAAACUACAGAGAGAAAUUACAAUUAUGAAACAGCAGGAUGAGUGUGACAGGUCUAUAAUAUCCUUCCCUCUUUCUUUUCCUUCUCUCAUCUCAUUUUCUCUCUACCCCUUUCUCACAGAAUGAUGUCAAAAGCAAGCUUUAGGAACAAUGAAAAAGAGGAGAGUUUUACGGAAAGCAAUUACACUCAAAAUGGGCUGGCCUAGGAUCUGCUUUAUGGCUUAACACAAACACCUCACUAAGACAAAGGCCUUUUGUGUAAUUACCAGCACAUGGGUCAGCCAGAACUCUCCACAUAGAAAAGUACAUACGGACCUACCACAGAGAGACCAAAAGAGAUGGAGAGGGUGGCAACGAAGAACCGGUUGGAGAACAAGGGUCACUGAGGGGGUCACAGAAGUACUUGAGAUUCCUGCCUCACUGUUUCCCACCCUACUGUUCAUCCUUUAUUUUUCAUCAAGCACAACAUCAGGCAUUAACUCUCUAACCCACAAACUUUUAAAUGCACUGUUUUGCUGCUGUAAAGACAAAAGGAGAUUUACUUGGCUGUGUGACUGAGUAGAAAAUAUAGGAAAAGAG